CCUCGCUGUUGAGAUGGAAGUGGAUCACGGCCAGGUUCAAUAUAUUCUCUAUAUACCCCAGGCACAAUAUAUUCUCUAUAUACCCCAGGCACAAUAUAUUCUCUAAUAAAAAUACAAUUUACCUUCAACCUCGCUGUUGAGGUGGAAGUGGCUCAGGUCCGGGAUGUCGAGGAUCACGUCCAGGUUCAAUAUAUUCUCUAUAUACCCCAGGCACAAUAUAUUCUCUAUAUACCCCAGGCACAAUAUAUUCUCUAAUAAAAAUACAAUUUACCUUCAACCUCGCUGUUGAGGUGGAAGUGGCUCAGGUCCGGGAUGUCCAGGAUCACGUCCAGGUUCAAUAUAUUCUCUAUAUACCCCAGGCACAAUAUAUUCUCUAUAUACCCCAGGCACAAUAUAUUCUCUAAUAAAUACAAUUUACCUUCAACCUCGCUGUUGAGGUGGAAGUGGCUCAGGUCCGGGAUGUCCAGGAUCACGUCCAGGUUCAAUAUAUUCUCUAUAUACCCCAGGCACAAUAUAUUCUCUAAUAAAAACAAUUUACCUUCAACCUCGCUGUUGAGGUGGAAGUGGCUCAGGUCCGGGAUGUCCAGGAUCACGUCCAGGUUCAAUAUAUUCUCUAUAUACCCCAGGCACAAUAUAUUCUCUAUAUACCCCAGGCACAAUAUAUUCUCUAAUAAAGAUACAAUUUACCUUCAACCUCGCUGUUGAGGUGGAAGUGGCUCAGGUCCGGGAUGUCCAGGAUCACGUCCAGGUUCAAUAUAUUCUCUAUAUACCCCAGGCACAAUAUAUUCUCUAUAUACCCCAGGCACAAUAUAUUCUCUAUAUACCCCAGGCACAAUAUAUUCUCUAAUAAAAACAAUUUACCUUCAACCUCGCUGUUGAGGUGGAAGUGGCUCAGGUCCGGGAUGUCGAGGAUCACGUCCAGGUUCAAUAUAUUCUCUAUAUACCCCAGGCACAAUAUAUUCUCUAUAUACCCCAGGCACAAUAUAUUCUCUAAUAAAUACAAUUUACCUUCAACCUCGCUGUUGAGGUGGAAGUGGCUCAGGUCCGGGAUGUCCAGGAUCACGUCCAGGUUCAAUAUAUUCUCUAUAUACCCCAGGCACAAUAUAUUCUCUAAUAAAUACAAUUUACCUUCAACCUCGCUGUUGAGGUGGAAGUGGCUCAGGUCCGGGAUGUCCAGGAUCACGUCCAGGUUCAAUAUAUUCUCUAUAUACCCCAGGCACAAUAUAUUCUCUAAUAAAAAUA